CUUUAUCAAAACGAUAAGGGUUUCCGACAUAGGUCGGGAUUAAAAGGGAAUCGUGUGGAAAUCACGAGCUGACGCGCAACUGUAAGUCCGAUCCCAUUUUGGGAUAGCAUGUUUUUGCCAAAAGAGCCAUUGUCCGAAAGGAUGAGAAGGCGGUAAAAAUCGGACAAGCCAGGAUACCUGCCCAUAUCGUUCCUACUUU
rnacentral:ncRNA from 1 species